rnacentral:rRNA from 1 species
AGUCGAGGGGUAUCACGCUUUCGGGCGUGAACGACCGGCGCACGGGUGCGUAACGCGUAUGCAACCUACCUUUAACUGGGGAAUAGCUCUCGGAAACGGGAAUUAAUACCCCAUAACAUUCCGAAAUCGCAUGGUUUUGGGAUUAAAGUUCCGGCGGUUAAAGAUGGGCAUGCGUGACAUUAGCUAGUUGGUGAGGUAACUGCUCACCAAGGCUACGAUGUCUAGGGGGUCUGAGAGGAUGAUCCCCCACACUGGUACUGAGACACGGACCAGACUCCUACGGGAGGCAGCAGUGAGGAAUAUUGGGCAAUGGACGCAAGUCUGACCCAGCCAUGCCGCGUGCAGGAUGAAUGCCCUAUGGGUUGUAAACUGCUUUUAUUUGGGAAGAAACCCUCGCUCGUGAGCGAGGCCGACGGUACCAAAAGAAUAAGCAUCGGCUAACUCCGUGCCAGCAGCCGCGGUAAUACGGAGGAUGCAAGCGUUAUCCGGAUUUAUUGGGUUUAAAGGGUGCGCAGGCGGGAAAUUAAGUCAGUGGUGAAAUCCUGCAGCUUAACUGCAGAACUGCCAUUGAUACUGGUUUUCUUGAGUACAGUUGAGGUGGGCGGAAUGUGUAAUGUAGUGGUGAAAUGCUUAAAUAUUACACAGAACACCAAUUGCGUANGCAGCUCACUAAACUGUUACUGACGCUCAGGCACGAAAGCGUGGGGAGCGAACAGGAUUAUAUACCCUGGUAGUCCACGCUGUAAACGAUGAU